AUCCUGGUGCCGAGAUAACCACGAUCAGGGAGGUGGUGUCUCCAGGGUGAGGCGCGGGCAUUGCACUGCGCCCGUGUUGACCCCUGCCACUACCCCAAACUGGGGCAGAUGGGGCAUGCAAUUUUUGGUUGAAUGAGUUGAACUCAUUCAACUUUUG